CUAGGCAAAUUGGUCCUGUAACUUCGGAAUAAAGGACGCCUACGGAGACGUAGGUCGCAGAGAAUAGGCCCAGGCGACUGUUUAACAAAAACACAAGGCUAUGCAAACUGGAAACAUGAAGUAUAUAGUCUGACACCUGCCCGGUGCUGGAAGGUUAAGAGGAGGAGUCAUCCUUAAGGAGAAGCUCUGAAUUGAAGCCCCAGUAAACGGCGGCCGUAACUAUAACGGUCCUAAGGUAGCGAAAUUCCUUGUCGGGUAAGUUCCGACCUGCACGAAUGGUGUAACGAUCUGGGCACUGUCUCAACCGCGAACUCGGUGAAAUUGUAGUAUCGGUGAAGAUGCCGAUUACCCGCAACGGGACGAAAAGACCCCGUGAACCUUUACUA
rnacentral:rRNA from 1 species